rnacentral:rRNA from 1 species
UGAGGAAUAUUGGUCAAUGGACGAGAGUCUGAACCAGCCAAGUAGCGUGAAGGAUGACUGCCCUAUGGGUUGUAAACUUCUUUUAUACGGGAAUAAAGUUAGGCACGUGUGCCUUUUUGUAUGUACCGUAUGAAUAAGGAUCGGCUAA